CGACUCCGGCGGCAGCCUCGGCGGUCUGGGCGGGGCGGGAAGCCCGCUUUCAACCCCGCGUACCCUCUGACCCCGGAAGUGCUUUCCGCGCAGGACCCCUAGGAAAAAAAGAGGACCGGCUUUUUUAGGUCACAAGACUGCGCCAGAGCGCGCGAUACUUGAGAAAAUAACCCUGUGGGACCACGAGACGGGAGAAAAUGUACAACGUAGGCAAACCUGAGAAUCCGGCAAAGAUUGAGAGGAAGCACGUGUUUUUGUUAACUCUAGAGGCACCGGCAGGAGACUGGGACAGUUACUACUCUGUGACGGAGACAGAUAAUAUUUUCUCGCUCCGCCGAAGAGUUCGAUCGCGGAGCGAUACAGGCAGCCGCGCAGGCCACUGCAGGCGGUAGCUAGGCCGCCGCGGGUUUAAAACGUGCGCGUGAGAUGACGAGGGCGCAUGCGCGGGAGUAAGGGGGGCGGGAGAGGCCCGCGGUGGUUUCCGGGGGGGAGGGGUGGUGAGGCGCGGCCUGGAGGCGGUGCACGCGCUCUGGUGGGCACGUGGGGCCCCUUCGUCCCCGGCGUCCCGGCGCCUCGUACCAGCCCCCACCUUGGCCUCUGUCCGGUGACUGCGUCCGCUUCGCAGAAAGACUUGAGAGUCACUCACUCCACCUAGUACCGCCCGGGCUUGUGGUGUUUUGGGGACGUGUUAGGAACUCGGCUCUCUAGAAGAAUGGCGUCCAUUUACAUAAUGCUUUGUUUGCAUUUUGUUGGCUUCUGUUAGUGAAACCCUCAGAAGCCCCACCUCCUGCCCUUGUGUUUUACGUCCCGCGACGGUUUCUCUAGACAUUAGAGGACCAGUGCGCACUGAUGGGAUGCCGCCAUGGCCCGGCAUGUCCAUACUGGCUCGCGGGCCGCCUGGACCACGCUCUCUGGAGGCGGCCAACACUCGCCGCGGCCGCCAUCUUGGGAGGUCUUCCUGACCGAUCCCUCCCGCCAGGAAAUGGCUAUCAAUACGCUGGAGACAGAGCAAGACAAACCCAGAGAGAUGAAGUGACUGACCCAAGGUUACACAGGAUGGAAUCUGUAUCUUCUGAUUUCCUUACUGGCCCACAGUGCAUGUUCUGA
rnacentral:lncRNA from 1 species